rnacentral:lncRNA from 1 species
CUCGAGAAUGGGAGGGCUGGCAAAGCUGUAGCCAUGUGACCGCAUGGCUAUAGCCUAUGUGGUCGCAUGGUUGAUAUUUGUGAUUGUUGUGAGCCAUUUUUGACCUUUUUUAUUUGAAAUUAGUGGCUUUUCAUUCUUGUUUUGCACCAUUUCAUGAAAAACUUGCCAAUGCCUAUAAAUAGGUGAUCCAAGUGCAAGAAAGACAUAUUGAGUUCUAUUGAAAUUUAUCCCCCAAAUUAUACUUCUAAUAUUGAGAAAAUUUAUCACAUAAUUCUUCAAUUUUUCACUUGUUCAUUGUGAAGAUACACCUUUGCUUUUUUGUGUUUUUCUUAUCAAGGUUUGUUUAAUCCUACAAAUUAUUUGCCGAAAAUCCUUAAAAAGUAUUGGAAAUGAGGCAAAUAACGUUUGAGGACAGUUAAAUUAAUUUCGUGUUUAAGCCUUCGUUGAUGUACUUUUAUAAUUUUCUUCUCUAUUGCCAUUAUUUUUUCAACAUUUCAUUUGAAGCUUCUGCAGUGAGGAGUGUGAACGUUAUUACUAAUAUCCAAGUAUUCACCUCCAGAAUUCAAUGAUUCAUCUAAAUCUAAUUUCAGGUAAAGACUCGUGUUAGUGUUCAUGCUAUCUUGAACAAGAUAAACAUAAGUAAAAGUGGUCAGUUUUCUGCCCGUGAUAUUCAAAAGUUCAUGAGAGAAAUUCUGUUUCAUUUGAAGCUUCUGUAGCGAAGAUGGUGAAUAUUUCUACUGAUUGUCUUAAUUACCAGAGGGCUGGACACUAAAGUUGAU